rnacentral:rRNA from 1 species
CCUACGGGUGGCAGCAGUGAGGAAUAUUGGUCAAUGGACGCAAGUCUGAACCAGCCAAGCCGCGUGCAGGAAGACGGCUCUAUGAGUUGUAAACUGCUUUUGUACGAGGGUAAACGCAGAUACGCGUAUCUGUCUGAAAGUAUCGUACGAAUAAGGAUCGGCUAACUCCGUGCCAGCAGCCGCGGUAAUACGGAGGAUUCAAGCGUUAUCCGGAUUUAUUGGGUUUAAAGGGUGCGUAGGCGGUCGGAUAAGUUAGAGGUGAAAGCCCGAGGCUCAACUUCAGAAUUGCCUUUGAUACUGUUCGGCUAGAGAGUAGUUGAGGUAGGCGGAAUGUAUGGUGUAGCGGUGAAAUGCUUAGAGAUCAUACAGAACACCGAUUGCGAAGGCAGCUUACCAAGCUACUUCUGACGUUGAGGCACGAAAGCGUGGGGAGCAAACAGGAUUAGAUACCCCAGUAGUC